rnacentral:rRNA from 1 species
UACGAAGGGGGCUAGCGUUGUUCGGAAUUACUGGGCGUAAAGCGCGCGCAGGCGGUCUUCCAAGUCAGUGGUGAAAGCCUGGAGCUCAACUCCAGAACUGCCAUUGAAACUGUUAGACUUGAGUACGAGAGAGGUGAGUGGAAUUCCCAGUGUAGAGGUGAAAUUCGUAGAUAUUGGGAAGAACACCAGUGGCGAAGGCGGCUCACUGGCUCGUAACUGACGCUCGGCGCGACAGCGUGGGAUCGAAACA